rnacentral:rRNA from 1 species
CGCGUAGGCGGUUUGCUUAGUUAGGCGUGAAAUUCCUGGGCUCAACCUGGGGACUGCGUUUAAUACAGGCAGACUUGAGUUUGGAAGAGGGUCGUGGAAUUCCCAGUGUAGAGGUGAAAUUCGUAGAUAUUGGGAAGAACACCGGUGGCGAAGGCGGCGACCUGGUCCGAUACUGACGCUGAGGCGCGAAAGCGUGGGGAGCAAACAGGAUUAGAUACCCUGGUAGUCCACGCCGUAAACGAUGUGUGCUGGAUGUUGGGUGACCUAGUCACUCAGUGUCGUAGCUAACGCGAUAAGCACACCGCCUGGGGAGUACGGCCGCAAGGUUGAA